ACGAACGCUGGCGGCGUGCUUAACACAUGCAAGUCGAACGGAAAGGCCCUGCGUUUGCGGGGUGCUCGAGUGGCGAACGGGGGAGAAACACGCGAGUAACCCGCCCUUGACUUUGGGAUAACUUCAGGAAACAGGGGCUAAUACCGGAGAGGAGCUCCUGCUGCAUGGGGGGGGAUGGAAAGUUACGGCGGUGGGGGCUAGUCUCGCGGCUUAUGAGCUUGAUGGUGGGGUAGUGGCGUACCAAGGCUUUGACGGGUAGCCGGCCUGGGAGGGUGGCCGGCCACCUUGGGACUGCGGUACGCACCAGUAUCCUACGGGCGGCAGUAGUCGGGAGUCUUGCGCAAUGGGCGGACGCCUGUUGCGACAACGCCGCGUGCGGAAUGCCGGCUUUCGGGUUGUAAACCGCUUUCGCCUGUGCCGAAGCGUGAGUGACGGUACUGGGUAAGGAAGCACCGGCUAACUACGUG
rnacentral:rRNA from 1 species